GCUGGGCAUGGUAGUGCAUGCCUGUAGUCCCAGCCACUUGGGAAGCUGAGGCAGGAGAAUUGCUUGAACCCAGGAGGCAGAGGUUGCAGUGAGCCAAGAUCGCACCACUGCACUCCUCCAGCCUGGGCGACAGAGCGAGACUCUGUCUCUC
rnacentral:SRP_RNA from 1 species